rnacentral:rRNA from 1 species
GACGAACGCUGGCGGCGUGCUUAACACAUGCAAGUCGAACGGAAAGGCCCUGCUUGUGGGGUAUUCGAGUGGCGAACGGGUGAGUAAAACGUGGGUGUUCCGUCCCGCACUUCGGGAUAUGCCUUGAAAACAGGGUCUAUUAUCGGAUAGGAGCGAUCCUGAUGGAGAGGGUUGGAAAGAAUUUUUGGUGUGGGAGGAGCGCGCGGCCUAUCAGUUUGCUGGUGGGGGAAUGGCCUACCCAGGCGGCGGCGGGUAGCCGGCCGGAGGGGGUGGACGGCCCCCUUGGGGCUGGGGUACGGCCCAGGCUCCUUCGGGGGGGAGCAGGGGGGGAUAUUGCACCAUGGGGGCGAGCCUGAUGCAGGGACGCCGCGUGGGGGAUGGCGGCCUUCGGGUUGUUAACUCGUUUCGCUAGGGGCCAAACUUUUUGUGACGGUACCUGGAUAAGAAGCACCGGCUAACUACGUG